GGGCGCAUAGCUCAGUGGUAGAGCACUAUGUUGACAUCGUAGGGGUCCCAAGUUCAAUCCUUGGUGCGCCCACCA
rnacentral:tRNA from 1 species